AGAAAACAUCAUAACAAAGGAACUGCCAACGCUGUCACGCUUUGAAUUUGCCAUAGAAUCAUAAUCUUAUGCAUUUGCAUUUGAAUCUGAUUUUAAUUAGCCAUGCAGAGUUGGAAGUUUGAACCAGCAAAAGAUAUUUUUCAUUUUAUGGAAAAGAAAUAACUGGUGCCCUCGUUCCCAUUAAUUGGCUAUUCAAGGUCAUGUCCUUUUAUGAAGUGUCUUUUGAUUCUAUGAUAUCCUAACGGAAGUGUUAAAUUCGAAGAGAGUAUUGGUUAAAUUACAAUUAGUUUAUUUUAAUUCGGGCUUAUAUAAGUAAUUAGAUUGCUUUACACAUCAAAA
rnacentral:misc_RNA from 1 species